AUUGAACGCUGGCGGCAUGCCUUACACAUGCAAGUCGAACGGUAACGCGGGGGCAACCCUGGCGACGAGUGGCGAACGGGUGAGUAAUACAUCGGAACGUACCCAGUAGUGGGGGAUAGCUCGGCGAAAGCCGGAUUAAUACCGCAUACGACCUAUGGGUGAAAGCGGGGAUCGCAAGACCUCGCGCUAUUGGAGCGGCCGAUGUCGGAUUAGCUAGUUGGUGAGGUAAAGGCNCACCAAGGCUACGAUCCGUAGCUGGUCUGAGAGGACGACCAGCCACACUGGGACUGAGACACGGCCCAGACUCCUACGGGAGGCAGCAGUGGGGAAUUUUGGACAAUGGGCGAAAGCCUGAUCCAGCCAUGCCGCGUGUGUGAAGAAGGCCUGGUGUAAG
rnacentral:rRNA from 1 species